AGCUAUUAGUACUCAUACGAUUUGUGUCUGUCGUAGUUACAGGGUCUUAUCACAGAAAUAUCUACAAUAUUAAGGAAAAAGUAAAAUAAAAACAUGUCAAUUAAAACUUCUGUAUUUUUUGCGUGUGUAGUAGGAAUCUUGAUGAUCCAAUUGCUCUUAGCAUCAGAUGUGUAUCAAGGAUUCAAUAUAGUUCCGUGCAAGAGCGUGGGAGGUGAGUGUACGUCCGUCGGCUCAUGCAAGGGUCCUGCUUUGUUUGAAAAUGCGACAGAUUGCAACCCACAGAAAAAUAAUCGGAGUUGUUGCGUUUAUCUUUUUGACUUUGUUCCAUCGGGAUCACCUCCAGCAUCGGGCUAAACUUAUGCAUCUACACACGUGCAUAUUAAAUGUAGUACAAAUAAUAAAUAUGUACCAAAGGUUUUGUUUCAAAUAAAGUAAAUUUCUGUAAAUUAAUGUAAAUUGUGCUAUGUAGUCGUACAGAAUGUCAGAAUUUGAUGUAUAAAUUUUACCGUAAAAUCUU